UCUAGGGAAGCAUCCACUAUCCCUGUUCUACUGAUUUCGCCGGAACGUCGACCGCCUAUGCUCCACCUGAGGUACGCCGUUCUAAAAUCCACACAGCUAAGCCAUGAGUAACCUUCAAGUAGCAAGCUGUUAUGUUUCGAAAUUUAUUUGAAAGAUAAUGUGUUUUGGGCUUUAUACUUCACCAUGAUCUUUUACUAUGUAUCUGCAUCGAUAGCAUCUAUCGUAAUUGCCUUGCCAUAUACAGACAUGCUGUGGAGUUUUGCAAGCAAAAGUGAAACCUAUAAUAAUGAGUGACGAUUAUGAUAUGAUUACUGGAUGAGUAAUUCAGGGCAAGAAAGCUAAUUUACUGGAAAAUUGUAAAUAUUGUAUUAAACAUAGUACAGAUGUACUUCGCUUGCCAAUUUUAAUUUCCAUUUAGAUCUAACACGAUGUCGUGCUUAUAAUUUCCACAAAAUAUUGCCGGUAACUUGCAUAUGUUGGAUGUGAAAAACAGCAAUAUACACUUUGAUACUUUGAGGCUAUUAGAAAUAGUAGGGAUGAUAUGCUACUUCCAGUCUGCAACAAUUUAUUACUGGUCCCCUUGCCUCGCUUAUAGUUCAUGUAGUACCAUGUUUAUGCUUCAAACCAGCUAUGACAUCCCUCUUCCACCCAUUCUAUAUUGAUAUUGCUUCUAAAUACACAUAUGCAUGUAGUUACUCUUUUACAGUACUAAUGCCAGAUAUCAUAAGGUAGAAAAAUGUAGUGCUAUUUUAGUUAUGGAGUCGGCAAUGCAUGUUACUGGAAUGAUCAGCUAGCAUGCAAAUGAGCUCCAUUUCUUCUCUUUCAGAUACGAUCUUAUGUUCUGCCUGAACAUAGAUGCUUCUGCUGUGCGCUCCAUUGUCCUGUCUUACUACAAUUGGGUAUUGAAACCGCCUAUUUUGAAUGCAACAAUUUAAAUAUUUACUGCUCUCUCUCUCUCUCACCAUGUUUAGUGAUGACGAAGCGAUGCAUACGGAAACAUGUUCGAUAAGAAUCAGCGUGCCAAUAUGGAAUAUAAGGUGAGUGAGUAUUGUGUAUGCUGAGCCCUCCAAACAUUUUGCAAGGCCUGUAAAACAGUGGAAUGCAGCACUAGCAGAAAGGAAGAACUGUAGACUCAAUCGUGGACUACUUGAGUUAACUAUUUGCUCAAUACAUCAAGCACCAGGCCUCUCCUACUCCUGCUCUCAAAAUGGAAAAGGAGAUCAGGCAACUAGGGAUCUGAGUACUGUAAUUUCAUAAAUUUUGU
rnacentral:lncRNA from 1 species